rnacentral:rRNA from 1 species
GACGAAGGAUGCAAGCGUUAUCCGGAUUCAUUGGGUUUAAAGGGAGCGUAGGUGGCCUUAUAAGUCAGUGGUGAAAUCUCUGGGCUUAACCCAGAAAUUGCCAUUGAUACUGUAGGGCUUGAGUAUAGAUGCCGUUGGCGGAAUAUGACAUGUAGUGGUGAAGUACAUAGAGAUGUCAUAGAACACCGAUUGCGAAGGCAGCUAACGAAACUAUAACUGACACUGAGGCUCGAAAGUGUGGGGAUCAAACAGG